rnacentral:rRNA from 1 species
CCUACGGGUGGCAGCAGUCGGGAAUAUUGCGCAAUGCAGGAAACUCUGACGCAGUGACGCCGCGUAUAGGACGAAGGUUUUCGGAUCGUAAAGUAUUGUCGUUAGGGAAGAUAAAAGACUGUACCAAAGGAGGAAGCCUCGGCUAACUAUGUGCCAGCAGCCGCGGUAAUACAUAGGGGGCAAGCGUUAUCCGGAAUUAUUGGGCGUAAAGGGUGCGUAGACGGAAGAGCAAGUUGGUAGUGAAAGCCCUUGGCUCAACUGAAGAACUGCAAGCAAAACUAUACUCCUUGAGGAUCGGAGAGGAAAGUAGAAUUCCUAGUGUAGCGGUGAAAUGCGUAGAUAUUAGGAGGAACACCAGUGGCGAAGGCGACUUUCUGGACGAUAACUGACGUUGAGGCACGAAAGUGUGGGGAGCAAACAGGAUUAGAUACCCGGGUAGUC